CUCUGCGCUGUCAGCACAAAGCCAGACACGGACUCACCAACCAACCGUGAGAUCAUAACCUGAGCAGAAACCAAGAGUCAGGUGCUUAACAGACUUGAGCCACCCAGGUGCUCCAAGCAGAUUAACUUUAAAAUCUGACCUGAUGGGGUCAACCCUGAGGAAUUCUUUGGAGAGUGUGUGGAAUCCAUCUGGAUACUAAAAACUCUCUCUGAAUGCCUUCUUAGACUCUGGAAUUACUUUGGAAGAACACCCUUAGAAUGUUAUGACAACAAAUAACUCUAUGGGGACAAGGAAGGGGGUGAAUAAGGACAAAUAAGAAUUUUCCCACUUAAAGCUGUGUAUUUGUGCCUCAGUAUGUUCGAAUAGCCCAUCAAUUAUUAACAGACUGGGAACAUUUCCAAGUCCUGCAUCAAACACACAACACCAGAAGGCCUUCUCCAAAACAGGUUCUAUUUAUUGAAUGUUGUUUACUAUCUCUUGGCAGCUUUGUCUUUUUAGAUGCUGUUUAGAAGCGUCAAGUGGGGGGAGAUCUCUGUUUAGAUGUCUCAAAUAAAAGACUGGCAGAAACUCAAAGGCAAGUAUGUUAACUUUAGUUUCUUAGAUCAAAGAAAGUUGCUCAUCAGAAAAUCCACCCAUGUGGAGUCCCUUCAACCUGUUGUAUCAGUGCAGAACUAUGAUUUAGUGGUAAGGAUUAGAGUGUAAUGCUGUGGUAUGAUAUGCUAAAACUCAGAGCUCAAAAUGGUGUGAGUGUGGAUAGAGGAAUAGAUAUUAGCCAAGAAGAAAAUUUGUGGUGUCUCUUCCGGGCAGCAUUGAAAAUUUCUUUUUAUCCUAAAGCCCUUGGCUAUUCUCAAAGUUAGGAGGAGUUGAGAAUGAAUGAGAAAUAUAGGAGAUUUUAUUCUGUGUAGCUGAUAAUUUUUUCCAACCAUAUGUAAAUAUAAAGACCUGGCUUUCAAAAACAUACACAAUGGGGUAGGCUUCUGGGUAUAAAAUUGGGAACUCAUUAGGUCUGCUCAUUGAUUAUUUUGUUGAGAUGAGUAGUUUCCUCAAUUUCAGGGGAGUAAAGGCUGAGACGAUAGAGUGAGGAAAACAGAUGGGGAAAAACAGAUCCACCAAGACUUCACGAGCGACUGGCCAUGGUCCUGAAUUUGCGGCAAAGUCUCAGAGGUGGCCCCAAACCUUGGUGUGUUAGAGAUGACAGAGCAAAGUGGCUACCCUAAUGAAUAGCAUGGGUACCUGCUGAGGACGCAGCAAUUCACUGCCUGCCUAUGUUUGGGGAGGGAGGGCUGCUUCUGUGGCCAUUUCCAUCAAAGUAACGGAGAAGCCCAAAUGUCUCCUCCUAUCUAAGACUGCAGGCAUGUGGAGAAGUCUAGGGUCCCUUAGGUGCAGGUACAGAAGGCAAGGAGAGGUGGAUUCUUGCUGGGUGUAUCCGCCAGCAUUUUUGCGUCCCCUCACUACCAACGCCCCUCACAGUCAAGGAGUAGGCCACGUGGAACUCUCGGGGUCUCAGAUGCCACACUGCUCAGGUGCUAGCCAAGCAACUGGACACCUUUUUCUGUAUUAACCCUUAUUUCCUGCACAGACAAAUGGAAGUCCAGAGAGGUAAAAUCCUUGCCUAAAUCCACCUAAAGCAAGGCAGUAGCUAGGAGUUUACUACAAGCCAUGAAUUACAGAUUCUAGGCCCAUGGGUAAGCAUCCAAACGACCUUUCCUUCUUCCUUGGGGAGCAUCUUAGGGUGAAUAACCCCAUCAUGUAGGAUCAAUAAAACACAAGCAAUUUUUAUUCUAAUAUAUAGAAGCAUAAAUGGAAAAUGUAUCCAGGGUUCCCCCCCCCAAAGGAGAGAAAACACAUGAAAGCAUCUUAAACUACUUAAAAGAAAAAUACAAAUCUAGAGUAUAAUUAUUGUUUUAUUACAAUAUCUCAUCACUUGAAUUUCUAAGAAACAUCAUCCUACUUAACCUCAAGGGUCCUUGAAAGGGGCACAGAGUCCCAGCCCCGACUACAGCAGUUGAGGAAUUGGAGUCCCAUCAUCCUCUGGUGACAAUUCAAAAGGAACCCGCUCUAUCUUUGCUAUGUCAUCUGAAGAUUUAUAUUCCAAAAAUAAGCACUGCGACGUAUUUGGUUAAUGACAAUCACAAUGUACAAAAAUGCCCAGAUGAGCUUACUCUGUGCUAUCUCUGAUGUGGAAUAACAAAACAGAGAGGAAUACUUGGGACAGAACCAGGACUGCCUCCCACCUGAUGCCUCAUUAUAUGAAAACGGUGCCAUUUUUCCCUGAACGGUGGACCCCAAGAGAAGACUUAAAUUUUUCUUUUCCGCUUCCCCUGAGGAGUAAAUUUCACGUCGAAACAGAGUUACACGAACCAAAAGCAAUUUGUGUACCUAAAGUAUUCAGAAAUGCUCAGCCUGCAGAACCAUCAUCAGCAUUUGAUUGCACACUUUGUUCCUAACAAGCACUCCUUGGCUCUCCAAAAGCUUAUGAAUGCAUUUACCGGUGAUAAUAGCAACGUGCAAUCCGAAGUGGACGAGGUGCAGACCUUACGGAGAUUUGAGAAGUCAAGCCGAUAUCGCAGAUUUGAAGCAGCACUCUAAACAUUAUGAAGGAACCAGCGUCUGUGAGCACCUACUCAAUGCCAGGCCUCGUGCUAGUACUUUCCACUUACUGUCUUAUGUAAUAUUCAUGACAGCCUGCUGAAAUGGAUUUUAUCCCCCUUAAUUAUAGAGUAGAAUUUGA